rnacentral:lncRNA from 10 species
GUAGGUCACACCGAGUGGCCCCUCCUCCUCAGACACAGGGCUGUGCCUGGGGAGGCCCAAGAAAGCCAAAGAAUAGGCCACGGGCUCAGAAGACAGGGUGAGAAACACUUAGUCAGCAUAAUCCCUGCCAAUCACACCAGGGCUUCCGGUAAUACCAAGAGGGGAGCGGGUGAGAAGGUGGAUUCUGAAUCUGACCACGUAACUCUGCACUGCCACGAAGGCCCCAGCUCAUGCCCCGCGCUCAGCAGAGAGUGGGCUUGGGCCUCAUCUUCCUGUAACCGGGGGCUGGGGACCACUUUGAUCUCACUGUUCCCCUUGCUGCUGUUCACACCAGUACGGCGCCUUCAAGAAGUUAUCCCAGGGCAAUUUUCCACCUUUGAAGUCCCCGGAAAACCCUGCCAAAAGCCGUUCUGGUGUGAGGAUGCUGCAGGGGCAGGCAGCCUGGUGCCGCGGCCUCCCGGGUGCCAGAACUGGAACAUCGAGACAUCAAAGGCGAAGGUGGCAGCAGGGCGAUGAGUAAGCUCCGCUGCAGGCUUGGCCUCGGCCCCAGAAGCCUUCUCCUCAUCUCCCAGUGGUGGCUGAGCAGGACUAGGGAGACGACCCAGAGAGCCUGGAGACCUGGCUUGGGGGAAGCCCUGUGGAUGCUUCUGGAGGCGGACACUUCCCUGCUGCUCUGUGCCUGGUAAAGGCACCGACCACUGCAGAGCAGAAGCAGAGUCCAAUCCUGGCUCCAAAGCGCCCCUGACUGCAAAGCUUUGGUACUGUUAUUACCACCGUGAAACAGGUGGGGAAACUGAAGCAUGAGGAGCUUGAGUAAUGUGUGUUAGAUCACGCAACCAGUAGUGGCAGAGCUGGAAUUCCGACCUGGGACUGCCUCCAAAGUUCUUGCGUAAGAAUACAGCUGCUACACUUGCCCUUCUUCAGCUGAGACCAAGGAGGGAAUUCUGAUUGAAAGCAAACCAGGGAGGAAAGAUGCACUAGCACUGACCUGUAACAGGUCAAUCUGUGCCAUGGCAUGGCGAGACGAAGUGGAGAACCCAUGUCUCAUUGGAAUCCCGGAUCAUCGUCUCCACGAAGGCUGUCUUCUGCAGCACUCCAGGGACUCACGGCUCUGGGCUUAUUGCUCAGUGUCAUGUGACAGAUGUUUUAGUGUUUAGUUGGAACCCUGGAUCUGCAGCAACCAUCUUGCUACCAACUUGAGGGUGAAGCCAGCCGUAAGAAUAGCAGGCCGGAAAGAUGGAAGAAACCUGGCUUUCCAAUGUCAUCAUUUGGUUGCUGAAUCAAUUGUACCUAAAGCUCACUCUAUCUGUUUUACCUUGAGUUAGGGUUGCCGUUGCUUGCAGCUAAACGCAUCUUCUUUUUUUUUUUUUUUUUUUUUUUUUUUGAGAAGGAGUCUUACUCUAUCACCCAGGUUGGAGUGCAGUGGCGCGAUCUCAACUCACUGCAACCUCCACCUCCCAGGUUCAAGUGAUUCUUGUGCCUCAGCCUCCCACGUAGCUAGGAUUACAGGCGUGAGCCACCACGCCCGGCUUAUUUUUGUAUUUUUGGUAGAGAAGGGGUUUCGCCAUGUUGCCCAGGCUGGUCUUUAACUUCUGGACCUUAGGUGAUCCACCCGCCUCAGCCUCCCAAAGUGCUGGAAUUACUGGCAAGAUCCACCACACCCAGUCUAAAUGCAUCUGAAUAUAACAUGACUCUCCUAGAGAAAAACCUGGAACCCAGAGCACCUGAAUAGAAACUCUUAAUUAUAUCAAUGAGGAAUAGUUAACUUAGCCAAGUUUCCAUUGAAUAUGAAGAACUGUAAAAUAAUGUCAGUUCUAGCCAAGAACUGAAAAGUAAUGUCAGUACUCUAUAAUGUGUAAUUCAUAGUUGCUACAUGUAAUCAGGCUUGGCCAAUUGUUUCCAGGAAGAUGGCACCCUCAUUUCUGAAUGAGGAUGACCAUUUUCCACUAAUCCAGAGGUAAAACAGUCAUUGUAACUGCACUGAAAUUUGCUGUAUCAAGUGAGACAUGAAGGUAAAUGUCAUUGGCCCAGAGUAAUUAGUCUUUUCCAGUGCUUAAAGGAAGGGAGAGAAACUAAUGCCUAUUGAGUGCCUUCAAAGCUUCUGCAAUGUGCUGGUACCCACAUGUUUCCAAUUAUUCCUCACAACACUAUGGAGAGGUUAUUUUGCCUGUUUUGCUGAUCAGGGAACUGAGACUCACAGAGUGACACCAACCCAUCAGUAUUUCAGGUUUCUGGGGAGGGUCCAGAGAGCAAGGGGGAAGCUGCUAAUUGCUUGUUGGUUCAAGAGAAAUGUUAUCUCAGUAGACUAACGUAUGGACUUUCUGAUGUCAGAAAAUGCAAACUAUGUAGUGUAACCUGUUUGCCAUUUUUUCUUUGUAUCCGCAAACUGACAGCAAAAUAUAUUGCACAAGUAUUAUAAAUCUGUUCAGUUCAAGUGCCAGAGAACAUUUACUCUGCUUCCUUCAUGAGUGGUGAGCAUGCCUGCUCCCCUACAAACUCACCAGCUCAGAGCAUUAUCAGGCUUCUCAUCUCUGCCAACCUGCCGCUGAGGUGGGGAUUAUUAGCACGCCCUUUGCAGAUGAGGAAACUGAAGCCCAGGGAGCUUUGGCAACCUGCCCAAGGUCACACAGCCAGUGAAGGAAAGGGCUGAAAUCAAACCAGGCCUGUCUGACUGCAAGGCAGGGUCUUACGGCUGCCUCCGGUGGGUAGGUCCGGGACCCAGCUGGUUUCCGUCCUGUGGCUCAGGUGCGAGGAGAGCCUCCCUGGGCCACCUGGGGAAGUCUGACUGACGUGCCAGAUCCUCACAGAACAAAGCACCCCCUCUCUCAGCACCAGGGAGCUCCUCCAGGAGCACUUCCUCCCAUGUCUGUGUUCGCCGUUAAGACUGGACACACCAGGAUGAUCUUUCAACUUUGGGUCCAAAGGCCCUCAGUGGAUGUAAAAUAGGUACAUGAGGCCUUGAACUGAACAUUUUUUUCACUUCACCAUAACCUGGAUUUUCCCAGUUUAGGAGCAUCUGUUUGUCUUGAUAACGUUUGGAACAAAGUGAAAAAAACUGGACUUUGAAGAGAACUUCAGGUGAAUUACACAUUUAAGUCAGAUUUUCCAUGUCUUUGUCCCAUGUUCAGUAAUUCAAGCUGUUAGGAGCCCUCAACUUUGUACAUAUAUUUCCUUCCUAUCUCUGCCUCUUCAUACCUGGUACUUACCGUGGAAUUUGAAAUCUUUCUGUGGCUGUAAGCAAGAAAGGCGGGAAAAAUACAAGAAGUUAAAGGGGAUUGGAUGGUUCAGAUUUGGUUGAUGAAUGAGAUGGUUUAGAGGCAUGUCUUGUAAGAGAUAAUUUUCUAUGUGCCAGGUACUAUUUAUGAAUCCCACAUUAUCUUAUUAAUGCUCACAACAAGCCUUGGGGGUAAAUAGAUUAUCAUCGCCAUUUCACAGAUUAGGAAAGUGAGGUUUCAGCAGUCAAUUGCUCAAAGGUCUCCUGCUAGUGAAACAGUCGUCUAUCCAAACAGUCUGAAUGACCUGUGCACAUGGGAACGUGCCACGCAAGCCAAGGGCAGGAAGGAUGAGAAGAGGUGGGCAGAAAGCCAGCUGGGAUGAAUGAAGGACCUACUACGUGCAGGCCCAGGGUCAGACAUUUUAUUUUCUUGAUUGCACUUCAGCCUCCCAGCAGCCCUGUUUUACAGAUGAAGAAACUGAGGCUCAAAGAGCUGGAGAAAGUUGUUGCCCAGGGUCCUGUGGAGAGAAAACUCAAGCUCCGGCUGUUCCACUACUCUGGGACACCACCCCCAGUGGGAACCCCACUUUUACAAGGAUUCGAAGGUAGGUGAGGACUUAUCUCCUGAAAUAAUUAGUAUACUUACUUUUUUGUUACAUAUUCCCACUAAAGGUUUGCAGCCCCACCCAGCUUGAAUAUCAGGAGAAUGGCAACAAAAUCUGGUUCAAGGCUCACAGAAUCCACGAAAGAUGCCAGCCCCUCCACGGUUGGAGAGUGAUUCACAAAUGUGUCUUUAAGGACUUUCCCAGGCCGGGCACAGUGGCUCACACCUGUAAUCCCAGCAAGCCGAGGCGGGAGGAUCACCUGAGGUCAGGAGUUUGAGACCAGCCUGGCCAACAUGAUGAAACUCCGUCUCUACUAAGAAUACAAAAAUUAGGCAGGCGUGGUGGCAUGCACCUGUAAUUCCAACCACUUGGGAGGCUGAGGCAGGAGAACUGCUUGAACCGGGGAGGCAGAGGUUGCAGUGAGCCAAAAUCACACCGCUGCACUCCAGCCUGGGCAACAGAGUGAGACUGUGUCUCAACAACAACAACAACAACAACAAACAGAAAAAAAAGAAAAAAAAAGGACUUCCCCAUCUCAGAGCAGAAGACAAACCCAGGUGACUCUGAGUCUGCACAGAAAAGGCAAGGGUGACCAAGAGUGAGGAGGUUAAGCACCUGUUGCUUUCAGCUCAGGUCCUGACCACAGCCCUUAAUAAGGACAAACCUCUCAGAUUGCUGCAGCCUUCAAUACGCAUGUUCCUAUAGUGCCUGGCCAAUAAGAAGUACUUACACAGUAGCUGUUAUUAUUGUAAAGGCGGCGCAAAGAGUUAAGGAAGGCCGGUAGCUAAGCUGAAUCUGAGUUGCAUCUUGUAGGCCAUGGUAUGUGAAAGAAGGGCAGGCCAGGAGGGGGAACAGAGUGAGUAAAGCCCAGAGGCAGGGGCAUGGAAAAGCAGGGAGGAGUUAAGCUUGGGGCAAAUAUCCUAAAUGAAGGGGAAUAAAAGGCAACAAAGUUUGCAAGUUGCACCGGGGCCACAUCUUGGAGUUGUUUGAGAACAUGUCCCAUGAGGCUGCAUUUAACACCAGCCACUCGCGCUUCCACCCCAACAGCAGGAGUAUCACAUCCACAUGCCAUGUGCGCAAUUCCUUACUUUAUAUCCUCCUCUAAGAUAAAUCUACCCUCCCUCUUUUUUAAGCAUAAGAGCAUUUAUUCUAAAAGGAAACUUUUGGCCAGGCAUGGUGGCUCACGCCUGUAAUCCCAGCACUUUGGGAGGCCUAGGCUGGUGGAUCAUGAGGUCAGGAGUUCGAGACCAGCCUGACCAACAUGGCAAAACCCCGUCUCUACUAAAAAUACAAAAAUUAGCCGGGUGUGGUGGCACGUGCCUGUAGUCCCACCUACUCGGGAGGCUGAGGCAGAAGAAUUGCUUGAACCCGGGAGGCAGAGGUUGCAGUGAGCUGAGAUCACACCACUGCAGUCCAGCCUGGGCAACAAAGCAAGACUCUGUCUCAAAAAAUAAAUAAAUAAAUAAAUAAAAGGAAACUUUUGCUCACUAAUGGAAAUGGAAGUGGCACCUGUCAUAGGCAGAGACAAAUUGUCAAAGUAAACAACUUUUAAGUCUCACUAGACACUCCUGCCCCAGCAGAAUCUGGUCAAAAGCUAGGUCAGCAAAUUUCAGAGGCAGUAUUAAGGACAAAGUAGCAACAAUCCAAACUUUCUUUUUAGGUACUCAGAAAGACUAACAGAACAUUGAGAAGGGGUGUUAGUCACAUCCCCAAACUGCAAGAGGCCAGAAGAUAGCGAGGGGUCUUUCAAACAAUCUAAAAUCUGAGACCCCAAUGUUGGAAAAGAGAAGGAAGGGAAUGGGUUAAAGUGCCAGUUGCUCCCUCCUCAGAUAGCAGGGCCCUGGACAUCCCUAAGAUGUCCCCUUCCUCUUUCAUCCUUCCCUGAUUCCAGCCUCCCCACCUUCCCCAGGCUGGCUUGCCUGAUUUUGUGAGCUCUUCAGCCGGCUUAAAGUGUAAUUCUGUAUUUCUGAUUCUAUCUGUGUUCCAGGAGGCAUUAUCUCUAUCUCUGUAAUAGCUUCUCAAGCAAAAACAUUUUACUGGGUAAAAGAGCAAGGAAUAGGCAUGACCUGAUGCUGAUUUAAAGCAAGAUUCCAGGCAAGCCCCAGAGCCCUCUCUAAGUAGCCUCUCUCCUUUCUGCUGUCUAACGAAACAGCUCCUAAUGGCCAUGGUAUCAUAUUGUAUCUCAUAUUUACACAGCACUCGGCACACAUUCACUUAUUCAGCGGACAUCCAUUGAGGGCCUAUUAUGUGCCAAGUCUUCUGGGUGCUGGCAAUCAACAGUGAACAAAGACCCGUGAGGUUCUUGCUCUACUUGGGAAAACAGGCAAUAAACUCUGAAACAAGUAAAUAAACACGAUCAUGAUGAGGCUACUGAAAAAGCAAUGUGGUAGCAGCGUGACGAUGAUGUGCCAUGGGAGACAGGUGGCAACAUCAAAAAAGGUAGACUGCCCCCGCCCUCCGAAGAGGUGGCAUGUGAGCAAGAAGGAGCCAGCCAAUGGAAAGCUCUGAAAGCAGAGUCUUUUAAAAACAAAACAAAAUCAAAAAACAAAAACAGGGCUCAAAGAAGAUGUCUGCACUUCUGCCAGACGGGGCAGAAAGAAGAUAAUGGUGCUCCAAUCAGGGAGACUGUGGAGGCAGUACAGGUGACAGGAGGCAGGGAAACGAGAAUUAGCCAGAAACACAGUAGGUUUGCCAUGUCAGUCAGACACUCGAGUGUGUUCUUGCUCUUCUCAACAAACCAUAAAGUAAGGACGAUCAGUGUUUCCCAUUUUACAGACAGGAAAACUGAAGCUCGGGAAGGCUACCCAGGUACAUAGGGGCAGUGGUGGGAUGUGAAUCUAUGGUUUAGGAUGCUGACGCCAGCACUAUCCCACCUGCCUCAUGGUAGAGCAGUGUCCAGACACAGAGGUGGCAAUGCAGCAGCUCAAGUGGCAGCUCCAGCACUGCAUGUGUUUUGUCCGUUCUACAUGGGUUUGGAAAAACUCACCUGAGCUAGCGAUCAACUCUUAAAUAUAACCCUUCACUCAAAAAUCUGGCUGUCUAUCUGAAAAUAUUUGAAGACCUGGUCAUAGUGGGACCAUGAUUUGAAUGACAACAAUGGGCUGGAGCAGUAUCUCUGCCCACCUUGAGAGAGGGAUGGGCACUCUGUUUUUCCACAGCCCCCACCUCUCCCGAUUGCUUGCCCCGGCCCCUUCACUCCUCUCCAUUGCAUUCAUGGCCUCCCUAUGCAUUCGGCUUUGAGGCCCCAGCUCUCUAGUGAUGAAAUAUGUGGGAAGAUCCACAAAGCCCAGCAAACGAGGAGUGACCAGAGGAAUUGAGUUACAGUUCCUCCCUAGAACACUUUCCUGCCUUUCUGAUGUAAUCACUUUGCGCAAACAGUAGGAAAUGUUCAGAAGAGCUGCUACAAGGCGGUGAUUAAGAGGUCAGGCCUGGUUCUUAAUUCUAGCUUCAGCAAGUCCUAUCUGUGGGACUUGGGCAAGUUCUAAAAACCUCAGUUUCUUUAUCUGUAAAGCGCAAAUAAUAAUAAUGCCUACUUUAUAAGUAGGAUUAGGGGAAACAGUAAUUUAGGAAACGUGCUCGGAAUGAUGCUAGUUUCGUGGUGAGUAUCCAAUAGAUGGAGCCGUAGUUGUCUUUCUCAUCUUAGAAAGCAGCUGAUUCUCCCAUGUCAUGACAGUGUUUGUGCAACUCCUCUGGAAUUCUCUCCUUUCUUCCUUAGGAGAGCAUUUUCUCAAUGUUCCUCUUUAUCUUUCUCCAAACACAAAGACAAAUCUAAGAGGAAAAAAAAAAUCUUCAAACUGGGUCGCAGAUACUCAGCUUCUUGUCAAUUCUCAUUAGGGUUUAAAAGCUCAGUCUCCUGCAUAUGCCCAAAGAUAAAGCAAUCCCUUCCAUUCCUAAUUCAAAGAACCAAAAAAAAAAAAAAAACAUGUGGUUGGACCUGGUUGAAUAUAUAAACUUUUGGGGAUGGCAAUAAACUAGGCAAAGUCCUGGUUAUUCAAUUUAUUAGCUCAGUUGUGCAACGUAGAAAUAAACAGAAAAUUACUUAUAAUUUUACAAUAAUAUUCAUUUAGAAACAUCACUUUUCUCCAUAUACGUGUUGCAUGAAACAGCUUUACUCCAUUCUUUGCCACACAUAAGGAGGCCGAGGAGGGAAGAUGGCAUGAGGCCAGGAAUUCAAGGCUGCAGUGAGAUAUGAUUGCACCACUACACUUCAGCCUGGGCGACAGGGUGACACCUCAUCUCUAAAAAAUAAAAUAAAAUAAUAAAAAAAUUUUGGAAAUUUUUAAAGCGUCUGCUCCACAGAGCCACAUUUUGCAUUGUGCAGUUUCGUUUUUCAGACCUUUCUCCUCUCUUCCAUCUGACUGCCCUGAGAUCCAGCACUUUUUGCUUCCACAUCUGAGGCUGUCGCUGGAAACAAGGUCUCCAUCCCAUUUGCAUGACAUGAGCACAGUCGGGAUUUGUAUUCAUUCUGUGGGUGUGUGUAUAUUCGUGCUCUCCACAAAAGAACCACUCAGCAUUGCUUUUUCAAGCCGAGCUUUAAAAGGCUUAUUUGCCAUGACAUCCAGCACUUGUAAUUUGAGGUCAUACCCCGAGGAAGAAUUGCUAAAUCUGUGUAAAAUGUUUCUGACUCCUUUUCUUACAGAUUCUGUCAGAUUAUCUCUUUAAGAAUUCUAAGCCCAUGUUGUUUGAGGUGGUUUUAGGCUAAUGUACAUUCCCCAAACAUUUCUUUGCUGUUCAAAAUAAAGCAAUUGAGAGGGUUCUUCGUAAAAACGAAGCACUUUGCAAGAGCUCAAGACAAAAGACAACUCCCUUUUUUCUAGGGGGUAAUUUUGAGGAUAGAAGAAAAACAGUGUUCUAUGUAAGCCUGUACAAUCACGAGAGCCAUUUGCUGAGGGCCAUGUGUGCGAGUGGUUCGUGUGCUCUCCACCUCCUCUUCUUCCUCCCAGGGGAUGAAAUGAGGCCCAACAAGUGCAAGACAUGGACCAUGUCAGCUCGUGACAGAACAGGGCUGGAACCCAAGUCUGCUAGGCUCAGCCCACUCCCUCCCUGUGCCGAGUUGACAUAUUCUACUUACAUUAAGCCAAGUGCUGGGCUCUGAUUAUACAAAAUCAGAUAAGCCAGGACCCUGUGUUCAAGGAGCUCCCAGGCCUGCUGGGGUGAGAGUGGAGCAGCAAGGAUGGAAGUGCACAGAUGCAAGGGUGGCCAGGCCUAUGGGGAUACAGGCAAGGGAGGCUGAGUGUU